UACGUAGGGUGCAAGCGUUGUCCGGAAUCACUGGGCGUAAAGGGCGCGUAGGCGGCGCGGAAAGUCAACGGUGAAAGCUCGGGGCUCAACCCCGAGUCGGCCGUCGAUACUUCUGUGCUUGAGCACUGUAGAGGCAGGUGGAAUUCCGGGUGUAGCGGUGGAAUGCGUAGAGAUCCGGAAGAACACCGGUGGCGAAGGCGGCCUGCUGGGCAGUAGCUGACGCUGAUGCGCGACAGCGUGGGGAGCAAACAGG
rnacentral:rRNA from 1 species